UAAAAAUUUAAUUUAAAAUAUUUAAGUAGUAUUAGUUAAGUUCUUUAAAUUUAAAAAAUUUGGCGGUAUUUUAGUCUAUUCAGAGGAACCUGUUUUUUAAUCGAUAGUCCACGAUGGAUCUUACUUAAAUUUGUUUUAGUUUAUAUAUCGUCGUUAAAAGAAUAUUUUAUAAGAAUAAUAAUUUUCUUAAUUUUUAAUUUUAAAAUAUAUCAGAUCAAGAUGUAGCUUAUGUUUAAGUUUAUAAUGGGUUACAAUUAUUAUAUUAUUGGAAAUUAAUAUGUAAUUUAUUAUUUGAAAUUGGAUUUGAUAGUAAAUUUAUAUAGAUAAAUAGAUUGAUUAUAGCUCUAAAAUAUG
rnacentral:rRNA from 1 species